GAUGAACGCUGGCGGCGUGCUUAACACAUGCAAGUCGAACGAAGCACCUUAAUUGAUUUCUUCGGAAUGAAGUUAUUGUGACUGAGUGGCGGACGGGUGAGUAACGCGUGGGUAACCUGCCUCACACAGGGGGAUAACAGUUGGAAACGGCUGCUAAUACCGCAUAAGCGCACAGUACCGCAUGGUACGGUGUGAAAAAACUCCGGUGGUGUGAGAUGGACCCGCGUCUGAUUAGCUAGUUGGCAGGGCAACGGCCUACCAAGGCGACGAUCAGUAGCCGACCUGAGAGGGUGACCGGCCACAUUGGGACUGAGACACGGGCCCAAAACUCCUACGGAGGCAGCAGUGGGAAUAUGCANAUGGGGAACCUGAUGCAGCGACGCCGCGU
rnacentral:rRNA from 1 species